CGCGAAUAGCUCAUUACAACAGCCACUGUUUACUUGAUCUUGACUAUCCUACUUGGAUAACUGUGGUAAUUCUAGAGCUAAUACACGCAAUAAAGCUCCGACCUUACGGGACGAGCGCAUUUAUUAGACCAAAACCAAUCGGGCUUCGGCCUGAGCCGUUGGUGACUCUGAAUAACUGAGCUGAUCGCAUGGUCUUUGUACCGGCGACGCAUCUUUCAAGUGUCUGCCUUAUCAACUUUCGAUGGUAGUUUAUGUGCCUACCAUGGUUGUUACGGGUAACGGAGAAUAAGGGUUCGACUCCGGAGAGGGAGCCUGAGAAACGGCUACCACAUCCAAGGAAGGCAGCAGGCGCGCAAAUUACCCACUCUCGGCACGAGGAGGUAGUGACGAAAAAUAACGAGGCGGUUCUCUAUGAGGCCCGCUAUCGGAAUGGGUACAAUUUAAACCCUUUAACGAGGACCUAUGAGAGGGCAAGUCUGGUGCCAGCAGCCGCGGUAAUUCCAGCU
rnacentral:rRNA from 1 species